rnacentral:lncRNA from 10 species
AUCAACUCCAGUUCUAGGUGUGGGCAGGAUGGUGUGCCUUCUGGAGGCUUCAGGGGAGAUCUGUUUUCUGGUCCCUUCAGCCUCCAGAGGCAUCUGCAGUCUCGUAUCACUCCGGCUCUGCUUCCAUCUUUGCGUCUCCUCUCUGACUCUGACCUUCCUGCUUCCUUCUCAGGACCUUUGUGAUUACAUGCCUCAUCCAGGCUCCACUCCUCCUCUCAAGAGCCUUAAUUUAAGCCCAUCUAUAAAGUGUCUUUGACCCUGUAAGGUCACAUAGCCACAGGUUCCAGGGGUUAGGAUGUGGACAUCUCUGUGGGGCUGUUCAACUGCCACACCAGCUCUUCAACCCAUAUGGGUCAUUUCUAUCCUCCAACCACCCUGGGAGUACUGUGCUCCCCACGCUCUUCACGUGGAAGCUGAGGCCCAGACGGGGGUGGGGAAUUGCAGAGAACGAGGAGAGCAGCUCCUGUCCCAGCUCUGCUUCUCACGCAGGCCUUUGGGGUGGGGCCUCAGUUUCCCCACCUGUACACAAGGACAACACUCCUCCUGCCCCCCUCCCAGCUCCCUGGGCCUCAAGGACGGCAAGGACGUGCAGUGGAUGAGGGGCAGCAGUGGGAACGGACACUGCCCUUAAGCUGGCAAGACAGGCCCAGGCCUGGUCUACAAACCCAGCCAGCUCCUGAUCACCAUCCUUAGGGUCACUGCGGUGCUGGGGUGGCCAAGCCAAGAUCCAGUCCUGGGCAGUCUGACCGAAGAGCUUCCAUACUGCAUGGCCCGGCUGCUCUGCCCCUCAGGAAGGAGCGGGGACAGGAGGCUGGGUCUAAGGUGCAGAGAAUGAUCUCAUCUUGUCAUUUGUAAAAUUAAAUUGUUCUGUAGCUUGGCUGAGAAGGACCAGGGAGGGAAGGGGUGAUUCAAGCAAGGACAGAGUCCAGGCAGGGCCCCAGGCCCCAGGGUGGGAGAAAUGCGAGCCUGAGGUAGAUAGGGGGUGGACAGUAGGUGGCAUGGUUCAGGGCUUCACCAGGGCCAGGCCCUCCCCUUACCCAGAGGAGGCAGUGAUGGGGGCCAGUCUGGGAAGGCCAGGGAGGAGAUGGAGUCAAGGUUGACUCCUUGAGUCUGGGGGUGAGGGCAGAUGGCAGAAGGCCUGGAAGCCCGGAGGGGAGCUGCCAGAGGCCAGCCUAGCUCCUUGGUCGUCCAGUGGCUGGAGAGGGGCUGUCCGUCAG